UACGAAGGGGGCUAGCGUUGUUCGGAAUCACUGGGCGUAAAGCGCACGCAGGCGGAUUGCUAAGUCAGGGGUGAAAUCCCGGAGCUCAACUUCGGAAUUGCCUUUGAUACUGUCUGUCUUCGAGUUCGGGAGAGGUUGGCGGAAUUCCUAGUGUAGAGGUGAAAUUCGUAGAUAUUAGGAAGAACACCAGUGGCGAAGGCGGCCAACUGGCCCGAUACUGACGCUCAUGUGCGAAAGCGUGGGGAGCAAACAGG
rnacentral:rRNA from 1 species